rnacentral:misc_RNA from 1 species
UCCGGUUUGGCACCGGCAGUCUCCGAUGAGUCCCCGGCAUUACCCGCUGGCAACAUCGGACAGGGGUUGCGCUCGUUGCGCCACUUAAGGCAACACCUCACGGCACGAGCUGACGACAGCCAUGCAGCACCUGUGCAGGCUCCCGAAGGAGCGCCGUGUUUCCACGGCUUCACCCUGCAUGUCAAGUCCAGGUAAGGUGGGGAUGACGUCCCACAGACUAUAC